GAUGAACGCUGGCGGCGUGCUUAACACAUGCAAGUCGAACGAUGAUCUCCAGCUUGCUGGGGGGAUUAGUGGCGAACGGGUGAGUAACACGUGAGUAACCUGCCCUUGACUCUGGGAUAAGCCUGGGAAACUGGGUCUAAUACCGGAUACGACCGCUCCACGCAUGUGGUGGUGGUGGAAAGCUUUUGCGGUUUUGGAUGGACUCGCGGCCUAUCAGCUUGUUGGUGGGGUAAUGGCCUACCAAGGCGACGACGGGUAGCCGGCCUGAGAGGGUGACCGGCCACACUGGGACUGAGACACGGCCCAGACUCCUACGGGAGGCAGCAGUGGGGAAUAUUGCACAAUGGGCGCAAGCCUGAUGCAGCGACGCCGCGUGAGGGAUGACGGCCUUCGGGUUGUAAACCUCUUUCAGUAGGGAAGAAGCGAAAGUGACGGUACCUGCAGGAGAAGCGCCGGCUAACUACGUGC
rnacentral:rRNA from 1 species